GGAGCGGUAGCUCAGUUCGGUUAGAGCGCCAGCCUGUCACGCUGGAGGUCGCGGGUUCGAGCCCCGUCCGCUUCGCCA
rnacentral:tRNA from 84 species